AUGCUCGCUUAGGAAGCACAUAUACUAAAACUAGAAUGAUACAGAGAAGAUUAGGAUGGGCCCUGAGCAAGGAUGACAUGCAAAUUCAUGAAGCAUUGCAUAUUUUU
ensembl:snRNA U6 U6 spliceosomal RNA